AAUACGUCCCGGCCUUGUACACACCGCCCGUCACACCACGAAAGUUUGCUGGACCAGAAGCCACCGGGUCUACCGGUGCCGAAGGUCUGGUCGAUGAUUGGGGUG
rnacentral:rRNA from 1 species